GAGUAAUAUCUGGGAAUCUACCCAAAAGAGGGGGAUAACUACUAGAAAUGGUAGCUAAUACCGCAUAAAGUUGAGAAACCAAAGUGGGGGGCCUUUUAGGCCUCAUGCUUUUGGAUGAGCCCAGACGAGAUUAGCUUGUUGGUAAGGUAAAAGCUUACCAAGGCUUCGAUCUCUAGCUGGUCUGAGAGGAUAACCAGCCACACUGGAACUGAGACACGGUCCAGACUCCUACGGGAGGCAGCAGUGGGGAAUAUUGCACAAUGGGCGAAAGCCUGAUGCAGCUAUGCCGCGUGUAUGAAGAAGGCCUUAGGGUUGUAAAGUACUUUCAGCGGGGAGG
rnacentral:rRNA from 1 species